CAAGAGAUUGUCCUGCCUCAGCCACCUUCAGAGAGGAGAGCCGUUCGAACGCCACACUCCUGCUGCGGAAUGCUGAGAACCUACAAUACAAUGGUGAAUGAGGCCAACUCUCUUCAGGUCCUGCAGAAGAGGGUCAAGACUUAGGAACCCAG